GAUGAAGAACGCAGCGAAAUGCGAUAAGUAGUGUGAAUUGCAGAAUUCAGUGAAUCAUCGAAUCUUUGAACGCACAUUGCGCCUCCUGGCAUUCCGGGAGGCAUGCCUGUUCGAGCGUCAUCAAACCCCAUCGUUCAAAUGAAUUAUUUUUUUUGCGCGGAAGUGACGAUUGAGCGAGAAUAACAAAUCCUCUCGCACCUCGUCGAAAUGAUUGCGGGCGGAAUUUGGGAUCGGGUUCCUCGGCGUAGUGUAUCAAUGCAUAUUUAUGCAACUUGCCGCGGAGUUGAGCCUGACCCACGCGUUCUCGCCGUACAAACACCUCAUUACUUUACAAGUUUUUGACCUCGGAUCAGGUAGGGAUACCCGCUGAACUUAAGCAUAUCAAUAAGCGGAGGA
rnacentral:misc_RNA from 1 species